ACUAGGCGGAAUUGGCCUGCAAAAAAAAAAUAAAAAAAAAUUGAUGUUCCGGACGGGAAAUGAGAGCCCAAGGAAAACAAUUUGAACUUACAGUCCUCUUCGUUUGUAUGUCUGAAAGUUCGGAAGAUGAAAGUUCCCCACCUGUCUCGGGGCCGAGGGACUGGGGCUGCCUCCUCUGCGUUUCCCUUCACUCUACAUCCACGGACAGACUACGGCGGAGCCUCCUCACGGCACCUACAGGAACUGUUUGGAAAGCUGUGAGACAGUCAUGUCGCGAAGGCCUGAGACUUAUGUUUCGAAAACACUGCAUAAAUAAUCGGGAAAAUACACAAAUGUUAAUGUGUUUAUAUGCAGGGUGGCUUGGUGGCUAUCACUGCUGUCUCAGUGUAUCACUGAGGGUUCGAAAUCUGGCUGUGAGUGUGGUGUUUCCAUCAUCUCCCGUUGUACCAGUCAGCUGAAGGUUGCUGGUUCAAGUCCCAUGGCUGGCAGAGUGUUUGUCACUAUUGGCCCUUAACCCCAAGUUGCUCUAGGGACUGUCUGACCUUGCUUUCUCACUUGUAAAUAUAUGGGCUCCUUUAGAUACUUUGCCUUCCUCCUAAGAUAUACAGUCAGGUGAAUUCAUGACUCUAAAUUGACUAUGGCGUGUUUCUCUGUGUCCUCUGACGGACUGGAACCCAGUCCAGCAUGUCUCCUGUCCCACAUCAUGUCCUGACUGGGAUAAGCUCCAGAACUGCUGCAUCCCUGAACUGGAUAACGGAAAGGAACACAGAUGGAUCAUUACAUGGAGAAAUGCGUGAUAUGUGUCUCAUUAUUAUGGCACCUCUUCCUUCACUGCAGCUGGUUAUAAUUGUCUGACUCUUAUCUGCGUCUAUAUUGAUCACAGAGAUGUUUGUUAACAUUGGAAGAUGCAGGAAAAGCGUUGUGAGGAACCUCUCCUUUCUCAGCCUCUGCGUGUCGCACGUCAGAAAUGAGAUUACGCUCGGCACGGCGGCCCUUUGAUGAGACAUAAUCACUGCAGCCGGGAUUUCUGGGCUGUGCUCGGAACAGGAGGCGGCGGAGACGAGGCCCGAGCGGGACUCUGCUGAAGACCACGAAGGAUGUCAUUUUUCGGAUGUUUUUUUUAACAUCUGAAAGACUAGUUGCCAAAUUUUUUGUUUGUGUGUGUGAGCGUGUGUGAGUAUGUGUGUGUGUGUGUGUACCCUGCGAUGGGUUGGUGCCCCAUUCAAGGUCCUACCAUGUGCCUGUAACUUUUGAAAUAGGCUCUGGAUCUCAGCAACCUUACAUAGGACAAGCAGGUAUGAAAAAUGGAUGGAUGGAUGGAUGGAUGGAUGGAUGGGGGCCCAACAGGCCCAUUGCUGUAUUAUCUUUUGGGGGAGUCACAGCUGUAACUAUACAAAUAGGGAAUUUGCCCAUCGGGUUAUUUUGGCUUUUGGGCAAAACGCCGGCCCGUCGGUGGAAAUCCUCAGCCCUGGCCGUGCCCAGACUUGCCCAGCAGAACAGAAAUCAGAAUCAGUCUCUGCAGACGUCCCUGGAACUGUGAGGCGGUCCUUAGCCCAACAUGGCAAGCAAUCCUGUCGCCAUGCCGACCCAGUUCAAGUGGGAGAGACACAGAGAGGGACAGAGAGGGAGAAAGAGCGGUACAGUUUCUGUUGACUGCAGCGUCAAAGCGUCGGAGCCGGGGGCUGCAGGAGGCCAGGGGGCUGUCGCCGUGGGGACGAUUCAUGGCUCCUUAGAGCCUUUCAUACUGGGCCAAUCCACCCCCCCUCUGCCGCCAUAACCUGUUAUUCCACAUGGACAGUUGGUUUGGGUGAUGGGCCUUUUCAAAAACUGCCUCCUUUGAUGGAAAUGGUUGAGGGCAGCUGAUUUGUCUCCCGCUCAGCUUGCCUGUUUCCUAUUCACAGGUCACUCUUCCCUUCCGCCUCGCUCCCUCACUCUUGUCCUGUCAUUUAUUUAUUUGUUUUCAUUCAGGGGGCGCCCCGAGGGAAGGACCUGGAAGGCGUGUGUCACAUCCUCCCAUUCUUUUCCCAGCAUCCUCUGUCCUGUUUGCUUUCCUCUCUUGUUUUUCUUCAGCAGGACCUGCACCGUUAUAUAUGUGAGCCUCAAAUAGGUACUAACUAUCCCCCCCCCCCCACCCCAGGAAAGCGGAAACCAUGUGUAUCUUGUAAUAAAAAAUUGAUAGUAUUUUCACAUCUGAGAGAACUAAUAAGCUACCAAAACAUACAGUCUCACACACACACAGGUUUGUGAUUAUAUCUUUGUGGGGACUCUCCAUUCAUUUCUAUGGGGAAAACUUUAAUCCCAACAUGACGACCUUAACCCUGACCCAGCCCAAACCUUAACAACAAGUAGGCAUAAAAAAUAUGAUACUUUUGGUAUUUUUUACUUUUUUGAUUGCAUUCACAGAUCUUUGUGGGGACCUGAAAAAUGACCAGGAAGUAACUCCAGGCAGACACAUAUUAUGUAGGCGUCUUCACGACUUGAAGUGCUUGUUUGUGUUUAGUGGGUCGGACCAAAGGACAGGAGCGAAAUUCUGGAAAACAAGCGAGGUUUCUGCCUCACGCAUGUCGCCUGCGGCUUGCAGAUCUGGCUCCCUCCUUCCCGUCUCUCUCUCCCAGUCUGGGACGCUGGUCCUCUUUUCCGUCCUGGUGAUAACACCCUUCCUGGGAAAGCCACAGCACAGGUGCUACAUGCUAACAGUGGCGUGAUGUCUCACCUGUCAUGUGACAUGAGGGGGGGGGGGCAAUGUUUUUUUCCCUCUCCCCCCUGGCUCCGCUGUGCUGUGUAACAUGUUUCAUUUUGCAUUUCCCCUCAAUUUGUAAGCAGCACAGCGCAGCGACGUUAAUGGUCCCGGGGGAGAGCCAGCUUACUCGUCACCCACAUACCUCCGUCUGUACUGGGGGCCCCCCCGACGCGGGAAGACCGGCCAAUCCCGGGCCAGACUGAAGCAACACCGCAGGCCUGCCGAGUCACGCUACAGAAAGCUGAGCUGCGGAAGAGCGGCCUGCCACAGCAGGACACUCAACCCAGCAAACGUCGUAUAAAUAUUCAAUAAACGUCGCGCUACACA